CGUGCGGUUCUAUUUUGUUGGUUUCUAGGACCGCCGUAAUGAUUAAUAGGGAUAGUUGGGGGCAUUCGUAUUCAAUUGUCAGAGGUGAAAUUCUUGGAUUUAUUGAAGACGAACUACUGCGAAAGCAUUUGCCAAGGAUGUUUUCAUUGAUCAAGAACGAAGGUUAGGGGAUCGAAAACGAUCAGAUACCGUUGUAGUCUUAACAGUAAACGAUGCCGACUAGGGAUCGGAUGAGAUUUUUAAUGACUCAUUCGGCACCUGAAGAGAAAUCUUUAAGUCAGGUUCGGGGGGGAGUAUGGUCGCAAGGCUGAAACUUAAAGGAAUUGACGGAAGGGCACCACCAGGUGUGGAGCCUGCGGCUUAAUUUGACUCAACACGG
rnacentral:rRNA from 1 species